rnacentral:rRNA from 1 species
CCUACGGGAGGCUGCAGUGGGGAAUAUUGGACAAUGGGGGCAACCCUGAUCCAGCCAUGCCGCGUGUGUGAAGAAGGCCCUCGGGUUGUAAAGCACUUUCAGUGAGGAAGAACGCCUGGUGGUUAAUACCCAUCAGGAAAGACAUCACUCACAGAAGAAGCACCGGCUAACUCCGUGCCAGCAGCCGCGGUAAUACGGAGGGUGCGAGCGUUAAUCGGAAUUACUGGGCGUAAAGCGCGCGUAGGUGGCUUGAUAAGCCGGUUGUGAAAGCCCCGGGCUCAACCUGGGAACGGCAUCCGGAACUGUCAAGCUAGAGUGCAGGAGAGGAAGGUAGAAUUCCCGGUGUAGCGGUGAAAUGCGUAGAGAUCGGGAGGAAUACCAGUGGCGAAGGCGGCCUUCUGGACUGACACUGACACUGAGGUGCGAAAGCGUGGGUAGCAAACAGGAUUAGAUACCCGAGUAGUC